GAGUUUUGAUCGUGGCUCAGAUUGAACGCUGGCGGCAUGCCUUACACAUGCAAGUCGAACGGCAGCAUGAUCCUAGCUUGCUAGAUUGAUGGCGAGUGGCGAACGGGUGAGUAAUACAUCGGAACGUGCCCUGUAGUGGGGGAUAACUAGUCGAAAGAUUAGCUAAUACCGCAUACGGACCUGAGGGUGAAAGUGGGGGACCGCAAGGCCUCAUUGCUAUAGGUAGCGGCCGA
rnacentral:rRNA from 1 species